CGAUGUAUGACGUCAUUUGCCCUGUGCUUUCCUGCUCUACUGGGAUUCUGUACACUCCUGAUUUUUGCAUCUCAGUUCUCCUGUCUUUUUUGUUUCUGAUUUUAUUAAAAAUUGUUUGCGUUCUACGUACUACUAAUCUCUUUUUCAUCUUCAGUAUGUUUCUUACUGUCUUGCAUCUUGCUACUGGAGCUGACAAUGCUAUGUAACCUUCACUAUUCUCAUUUUCAUCUUGCACAUCUUGGUUGGUAGAACUUACAUUAUUUAACACUUGCUGUACUUUAGCCUGUAUACUUUUCAAGAAUCCACGGGUAUAGCCAUGCUGCUCUCCUAUUCUGUAUAUAAACUAUAAUUCUCUUUCUAGAUCCUGGUUAUCUGUGGUAUACAGAUAUGCCCUCCUAAAGUAGGCUCGAAAAGCUGCCUUCUUAUAUUUGAUAGGAUC
rnacentral:lncRNA from 1 species